rfam:Medicago truncatula strain A17 chromosome 2, whole genome shotgun sequence.
AAACCAUGGUGGGGGCAAAGCCUAAGCAUUUCCUUGAAACGCUCCCACACAUCGUAAAGAGAUCCCCCAUCUCUUUAAGUGAAUUGUGUUAUUUGAUCCCUCAAUUG